CUCCCUGAGAUUAGCGGCGGACGGGUGAGUAACACGUGGGCAACCUGCCUAUAAGACUGGGAUAACUUCGGGAAACCGGAGCUAAUACCGGAUACGUUCUUUUCUCGCAUGAGAGAAGAUGGAAAGACGGUUUACGCUGUCACUUAUAGAUGGGCCCGCGGCGCAUUAGCUAGUUGGUGAGGUAAUGGCUCACCAAGGCGACGAUGCGUAGCCGACCUGAGAGGGUGAUCGGCCACACUGGGACUGAGACACGGCCCAGACUCCUACGGGAGGCAGCAGUAGGGAAUCUUCCGCAAUGGACGAAAGUCUGACGGAGCAACGCCGCGUGAACGAAGAAGGCCUUCGGGUCGUAAAGUUCUGUUGUUAGGGAAGAACAAGUACCAGAGUAACUGCUGGUACCUUGACGGUACCUAACCAGAAAGCCACGGCUAACUACGUGCCAACAGCCGC
rnacentral:rRNA from 1 species